UGAUCUCGGAGCGCUGUCGCGGUACUUUGAUGCCACAUGUGACAGUCACGUGGCGUCAGCGCAGCAUCAAUCCGAACAAGAUUUCUAACCAGAAUGCACCGCUUUAAGACAGAUUUCGAUCGAUCUGCGCAGCGCUGCAUGAAGUCGAACGCACCUAAUGACAUGGAAGCUUAAACGUGCAUGACAGUUCAGAACCAAUGAGGUUCAUCCUUUGGUGUCACGCGGCACGUUUGAACCAAUGAGGUUUGUCCUCCUCACGCCAAGCAGGUAUGUUUGCUAAUGGGCUCUACUAGCGUGAUUUUUUUUCCCAAACCAGUUCAGCGCAAACCACGCCCCUACGCUAAAACCCCUCCCCGCAGCUGUGACACGCGCGAUUUCAUUGGGCAACGUUGUUACUUGUCGUCUGAGAAAGAAGUUCAGAGUGCACAUCAAUCAAGUUCGUCUCUAAUGGAUCUAUCGUUGACAAACGGAGAGUAAGUUACGAUUGUAGUCCCAAAGACCAAGCUGCGGAUCUAAAGGUGCCAGCACAAUGUUCAUGUUCGAUCAGGCAUGGCUUGUCAACAACGGCUGUCCAAAAAUAUGCUGUGGGGCAAAAAGGGUUUGCACUUUGGUAAAGACUGUAGACAAAAGGGGAGGAUCAAGUAGGAACAAUGAACCCCAUAUUCCCACUUAAUCAACCUCUGUGCGCUUGUACAAUGUGCAUUGAGGCACAAGGUUGUAGGGGUCACUGUAGUUGCCACCACUGCAAGAGUUAACGCUGUUGAGAUGCCACCAUGUCAGAGCCUGAGCUGCCAGUUGCCACCAGAGCUAUUGAUGCCAGAUUCACCAGAGUUACUGUCAACAGAACCGCUCACAAAGCCUCAACCACAUUCAGACCCAUUCCAGCAAAACUGCCAGAGCCCGUGGUGCUAGAGCUGGCAGAUCUGCUGCUGCCAUAGCCAACGCUUCCAGAGCCACUGAUGCCACCAACUAAGCUCCAGGAUUGGCCACCUCUGCAAAGCCAACUAGCCUAUCAGAGCCACUCUACCUAUUUCUAAAGUGAGGACAAUUUAUGCUUUAUAAAUGCCUAAUAAAUGACAAUUAAAGGCUCAGUGUCAAAUGAACAGUACAUCUUUGUAAUCCUAUCUAAAAAAUAAAAUUACUGUAAAGUUUAAACAUUGCCGAAUAACAGGAGUGUCAAAAUACGACAUAAAAUUGGAUAAAAAAAACAACAACAAUAUAAUAAUUUAACAAUAUAUUAUGAUACAACAUUAUAAUGUUAUUUAGCGAAGUUUAAACUGUACGGUAACUUUAUUUUAGUUAAGAUUGCAAAAAUGUAUUUUUUAUUUGAUACAGAUUCAUUUAUGUAUCUUCAAAUGAUAAGAAAUAAAUCAAGUCGUGUUUUUUCCCCUGUUUAGAAGAUAACUGAGCCUUUAAUUGUUAUUUAUAAGGGAUUUAUAAAGCAUAAAUAGUCCUCACUUUAGAUUAGGUCACAAAACUGGAUGAAGUUAAAAUACUAAAGCAUUUAUUAACAUACAAAUUAAUUAUUAGUAAAUGCCUGAAUAAUAAGAUAUAUAAAUGUUAAUUUGAAUGGUUUAUUAUUUACUUAUGCGUUCUAAAUGAUCUUUAAAAGCCACAAAGUACUCUCAAAAAAUUGGUUUGUAAAUGAUACAAUACUUAAGUAUUGAAAAAAAAUAUUAUUAACAAAGUAUGAAAAUACAAUCAUUAAGCACAUUAUAGAUGUGCUUAUAAAUCAAG